rnacentral:lncRNA from 1 species
AUUCAUUCAAAUCUAAUCAUAACUACCACAAUCGGCUCGUCAUCAGCCUCUAUGAACCAAUGCUGCAGUGUCUUCUAGUCCACAUAGGCUAUGGAUCGAGUUCGCUCUGAUACCAUUUAUAACAAUACAGGAUCUCACCCAAAAUAGCUAGCCGGAAGGUAUUAUUUAGGUUUCUUGAUUCUGUAUAAGUAUCCAAGAUCUACCUAGCUAAUAACCAAUGUGGUAUUAAACACGCUCGCAUGGGUCCUCACAUAUUCUCCCCCAUUUAAGCCCUGACGUCCCCGUUAGGCUAAGGGCUCAAAUCCAUUCGAAUCUAAUAGCAAACACCACGAUCGGCUCGUGGUCGACCUUAAUGGAUCCAUGCUACAGUAUCUCCUAGUCCACAUAGGUUAUGGGUCGGGUCUGCUCUGACACCAUUUGUCACAACUCAGGAUCUCACCCAAAAUGGCUAGUCGGAAGGUAUUAUUUGGGUUUUUUGAUUUUAUACGAGUAUUCAAAAUUUACUCAGCAAAUAAUCGAUGUGGGACUAAACACGCUCGCAUAAGUUCUCACAUAAGAGCCAGGUUUCGAUUCUGGGACCUGUGGUUUGUGGCUAACCACGAUCGGCCUGUGGUUAGCCCCAAGGGAUACGUGUUGCAGUGUUUUCUAAUCCACAAGUUAUGGGUUGGGUCCGCUCUGAUACCAUUUGUAACAAUUUAGGACCUUACUCAAAUGACUACCCGGAAAGUAUUCUUUGUUGGAAAUUGUAUCCUAAGAGUCAAUCGUCAGUAUGUUGAUGAUUGAAUUUUGUAAAUGAAUUGACAAAUUAAUAAAGUGUUAAUUGACAUUAUUCAUCAUUUCAUUGUACAUCUUCAAAUGAACUCUUAUAUGAUGAAGUCCUUAAGAUUUAUUUUAUGAUAAAGGAAGAUUUAUCUUCAAGUCCUUACAACUGUUCGCGAUCAAAUGAUAUGCUGUUACUAGGACGACAUCAUUAUCGAGAUUAGGUCGUUGUAUGACAUAUACGUUGGUUGUCCUCUUAAUCAAGGAGUGUGGAGACACUGAUAUGUCACACAGGUGAAGUGUAGGAGUACAUUUCACUGAACGUGACCAAUUUCGGAGCACUCUACUGUCGAGAGAUGUUCCGAGUGGAUAUGGGUAUAAGUAUCAUUCAGACCUGAGAUCACCACAGUGAUUAGCAAGCAACUCACUGUACUUUGGUACAAGACUACCUGAAUUUCUAAUUCAGCGAUGGAAGGUCACUGGGUGCAGUCAAGUACUUGCGUAGUCAGUUGUGAGUCAAGAUGGAAUUGAUCCCUCCUGG